GAUGAACGCUAGCUACCGGUUUAACACAUGCAAGUCGAGGGGCAGCAUGUCGGUUGCUUGCAACCGAUGAUGGCGACCGGCGCACGGGUGAGUAACGCGUAUCCAACCUACCCUUGUCCAUCGGAUAACCCGUCGAAAGGCGGCCUAACACGAUAUGCGGUUCUCAGCAGGCAUCUAACGAGAACGAAAUGUGAAGGAGAAGGAUGGGGAUGCGUCUGAUUAGCUUGUUGGCGGGGUAACGGCCCACCAAGGCGACGAUCAGUAGGGGUUCUGAGAGGAAGGUCCCCCACAUUGGAACUGAGACACGGUCCAAACUCCUACGGGAGGCAGCAGUGAGGAAUAUUGGUCAAUGGGCGAGAGCCUGAACCAGCCAAGUCGCGUGAGGGACGAAUGGUCUAUGGCCUGUAAACCUCUUUUGUCAAGGAAGAAUAAGGAUGACGAGUCAUUCGAUGCCAGUACUUGACGAAUAAGCAUCGGCUAACUCCGUGCCAGCAGCCGCGGUAAUACGGGGGAUGCGAGCGUUAUCCGGAUUUAUUGGGUUUAAAGGGCGCGUAGGCGGGACGUCAAGUCAGCGGUAAAAGACUGCAGCUAAACUGUAGCACGCCGUUGAAACUGGCGCCCUCGAGACGAGACGAGGGAGGCGGAACAAGUGAAGUAGCGGUGAAAUGCAUAGAUAUCACUUGGAACCCCGAUAGCGAAGGCAGCUUCCCAGGCUCGAUCUGACGCUGAUGCGCGAGAGCGUGGGUAGCGAACAGG
rnacentral:rRNA from 1 species